rnacentral:rRNA from 1 species
AUACGGAGGAUGCGAGCGUUAUCCGGAUUUAUUGGGUUUAAAGGGAGCGUAGGUGGGAUAUUAAGUCAGCUGUGAAAGUUUGGGGCUAGACCUUAAAAUUGCAGUUGAUACUGGUUUCCUUGAGUACGGUACAGGUGGGCGGAAUUCGGGGUGUAGCGGUGAAAUGCUUAGAUAUCACGAAGAACUCCGAUCGCGAAGGCAGCUCACCGGGCCGGAACCGACACUGAUGCUCGAAAGUGCGGGUAUCAAACAGGAUUAGAUACCCUGGUAGUCCGCACAGUAAACGAUGAAUACUUGUUUUCGGCGAUAUAAUGUCGGAGGCAAAGCGAAAGCGAUAAGUAUUCCACCUGGGGAGUACGCCGGCAACGGUGAAACUCAAAUGAAUUGGCGG